rnacentral:rRNA from 1 species
UACGGAGGGUGCGAGCGUUGUCCGGAAUCAUUGGGCGUAAAGCGUGCGCAGGCGGCUUUGCAAGACAGAUGUGAAAUCCCCGGGCUUAACCUGGGAACUGCAUUUGUGACUGCAUGGCUGGAGUGCGGCAGAGGGGGAUGGAAUUCCGCGUGUAGCAGUGAAAUGCGUAGAUAUGCGGAGGAACACCGAUGGCGAAGGCAAUCCCCUGGGCCUGCACUGACGCUCAUGCACGAAAGCGUGGGGAGCAAACAGG